CCUACGGGUGGCUGCAGUGGGGAAUAUUGGACAAUGGGGGGAACCCUGAUCCAGCCAUGCCGCGUGUGUGAAGAAGGCCCUCGGGUUGUAAAGCACUUUCAGUGAGGAAGAACGCCUGGUGGUUAAUACCCAUCAGGAAAGACAUCACUCACAGAAGAAGCACCGGCUAACUCCGUGCCAGCAGCCGCGGUAAUACGGAGGGUGCGAGCGUUAAUCGGAAUUACUGGGCGUAAAGCGCGCGUAGGUGGCUUGAUAAGCCGGUUGUGAAAGCCCCGGGCUCAACCUGGGAACGGCAUCCGGAACUGUCAAGCUAGAGUGCAGGAGAGGAAGGUAGAAUUCCCGGUGUAGCGGUGAAAUGCGUAGAGAUCGGGAGGAAUACCAGUGGCGCAGGCGGCCUUCUGGACUGACACUGACACUGAGGUGCGAAAGCGUGGGUAGCAAACAGGAUUAGAUACCCCUGUAGUC
rnacentral:rRNA from 1 species